rnacentral:rRNA from 1 species
GGAUUAGAUACCCUGGUAGUCCACGCUGUAAACGAUGCUAACUCGUUUUUGGGUUUUCGGAUUCAGAGACUAAGCGAAAGUGAUAAGUUAGCCACCUGGGGAGUACGAACGCAAGUUUGAAACUCAAAGGAAUUGACGGGGGCCCGCACAAGCGGUGGAUUAUGUGGUUUAAUUCGAUGAUACGCGAGGAACCUUACCAAGGCUUAAAUGGGAAUUGAUCGGUUUAGAAAUAGACCUUCCUUCGGGCAAUUUUCAAGGUGCUGCAUGGUUGUCGUCAGCUCGUGCCG